rnacentral:rRNA from 1 species
CCUACGGGAGGCAGCAGUCGAGAAUCAUUCACAAUGGGGGAAACCCUGAUGGUGCGACGCCGCGUGGGGGAAUGCAGGUCUUCGGAUUGUAAACCCCUGUCAUGUGGGAGCAAAUUAAAAAGAUAGUACCACAAGAGGAAGAGACGGCUAACUCUGUUCCAGCAGCCGCGGUAAUACAGAGGUCUCAAGCGUUGUUCGGAAUCACUUGGCGUAAAGCGUGCGUAGGCUGUUUCGUAAGUCGUGUGUGAAAGGCGCGGGCUCAACCCGCGGACGGCACAUGAUACUGCGAGACUAGAGUAAUGGAGGGGGAACCGGAAUGCUCGGUGUAGCAGUGAAAUGCGUAGAUAUCGAGAGGAACACUCGUGGCGAAGGCGGGUUCCUGGACCUUAACUGACGCUGAGGCACGAAGGCCAGGGGAGCGAAAGGGAUUAGAUACCCCUGUAGUC